ensembl:lncRNA
AUUAUUGUACUGUAUUAUUAGUACAGCACUCACACAUGCCUGUGUCUGUUUUCUUCACAGACUGUCAGAGACGGAAGCUUCCGCGGAGCACCAAACCACAGGUGUGACUGGAGAGAGAUUUCAGCCACUCUGAUCAACACAGAGAGGGAGCUGUCUCUACUGACGUCAGAACCGGACGACCUAAAAGAAACUUUCACAAAAGUUUCAAGAACGCUACCCUCAAACAAGCAAGGCUGAAGAUAUCAAGUCUUUGAAGUGGACUGAGUAUCAUGUCUUGAGAUUGGCCUCAGUUUGUUUUUAGAAUAUCAACCCUAAUGGUUGACGCGGCCAGGGUUUAAUGCUCCCAAUGCUGUUCAUUCAAGAACACAUUUCUGUCUUCGUAGAAGAUUAAAGUACUUGGUGGGAUUAAUUUUUGGUAAAGGAACUGAGGUAUAGAAUGGGGCUACAGGAUCUUACCCGAGGCUAAACCCUGAUAUAGCAACCCACUUCUUAUCUUUUUAGAUCAGUCAAAAAUAUAUAUAUAUAUUCCAGCCCAUUCCGCCCAGCUUUGAGAGGGAAAUGGACAAGAUGAUGUGGACUCAGCUGAGAAUGUGGAGUCUCAGUUCCGAUCUGGAUAUGGCUUUGAGAUCAGACAUUCCGGGAAUCAACGCGAGGGCUCUACUGGGAUAGAGCGCAUCCUGGUACUCACACAGCCAGCAGCAUUUUCUCUGUGAUUCUUUUCAUGGAAAAAUUCAAGCCCACACAAAUGCCUAAGGCAAGUGUACAGUAGGGCUGCCUGCAAGCGUGGUAGUCUGAAUCCUCGAGGUGGACUGUUCUUUUCAUCCACUGCACCAGGACCCACACGCACCAGGACCCACAAGCACUAGAGGAGACAGACCCACACGGUCCAGGACCCACACGCUGCAGGACCCACACGUUCCAGGACCCACACGUUCCAGGACCCACACACUCCAGGACCCACACACUCCAGGACCCACAAGCACUAGAGGAGACAGACCCACACGUUCCAGGACCCACACGUGCAGGACCCACACACUCCAGGACCCACAAGCACUAGAGGAGACAGACCCACACGUUCCAGGACCCACACGUGCAGGACCCACGCGCUCCAGGACCCACACACUCCAGGACCCACACACUCUAGGACCCACACGCUGCAGGACCCACACGCUCCAGGACCUACACUUUCCAGGACCCACACGUUCCAGGACCCACACACUCCAGGACCCACACGCUGCAGGACCCACACACUCCAGGACCUACAUUUUCCAGGACCCACACGUUCCAGGACCCACACACUGCAGGACCCACACGCUGCAGGACCCACACACUCCAGGACCCACACGCUGCAGGACCCACACACUCCAGGACCCACACGCUGCAGGACCCACACGCUCCAGGACCCACACGCUACAGGACCCACACGCUGCAGGACCCACACACUCCAGGACCCACACGCUCCAGGACCCACACACUCCAGGACCUACACUUUCCAGGACCCACACGCUGCAGGACCCACCCACACGCUGCAGGACCCACAUGCUCCAGGACAUACACUUUCCAAGACCCACACGCUGCAGGACCCACACGCUGCAGGACCCACACGCUGCAGGACCCACACACUCCAGGACCUACACUUUCCAGGACCCACACACUGCAGGACCCACACACUCCAGAGGAGACAGACUCACAACUCCAGAGGAGACAGACUCACAGCUCCAGAGAAGACAGACUCACAGCUCCAGAGGAGACAGACUCACAACUCCAGAGGAGAAAGACUCACAGCUCCAGAGGAGACAGACUCACAGCUCCAGAGGAGACAGACUCACAACUCCAGAGGAGACAGACUCACAACUCCAGAUCUGUAUCUUUUACAACACAAGUCUAUCUAGGGCUGAAGGAGCCAGCCUGGUUUGAGCUGAUCCUUAGGAUUCAAGGAUCCAGGAAGUUGAGAUCGAGAGGAAG